AUGAGGACGAGCACUCGUUGCUGUAGAGUUAGCAUUUUCUCUGGCUCUUUUGCAGGAGGUGGAACAGCAGUGUUCACGGCGCUUGGGCAGGGUUCCUUUCCCGGAACAACCCAGUCAAAUUUGACAAGUACUCUAAGGCGUUGUAUCCCCCUAGCUAUCAGGUUUAUCUAGGGUUCCACUACCACUUAGAUUCUAGAACCUAAAGAGAAAGGUGGUUCUCCAGUUACCACUCAGUGGUUGUCUUGUAUGCCUGCAGUAUUUCUAGGAACUCCUCUUCUGGCUCCUCCAGCUUUUGGAAUUCGUCAAAGUUGUAAACCCGGCCGGAAGAUGUUGUGCCCUGCUUGAGGACCUUUCAUCUUUCUCAUAUGUGGCAGAGUUGUGAUCCUGGAUGCAUUCCUGGUGUCUAUGGCUUGCUAGAUUGUUGCUAGUGGAUUGUCCAUUGAUAUUGAUGUUGGUGAUGACUGCUCCUAGUCGGGAUCAUUAAAUCCAAAGGUUGCGGGGGCCUGCUUUGCAGUUGAGACCCAAACCAGCAGGAACCAGAGAUUGUGGAAGUGUGAUUCCUUAUAACCAGCAUGAACUAGCAGGGAUGACUCGUAGGUAGUUCAUGCGUUGAAUCUUGCUACUGCUUUCAGCAAUGUGUUAUCCUCUCUUGAAGAGGUAUUUCCAGCUGCGUGAGCUUUAGAUCUGAUGAGAAUACGUCGUUUCUUGCCCCCAGGUGGCUGGGGUUGAGAGAUUUUGCAGGAAUAGAUGUAAUAUCUCUUCUGCCUAUCACAUUAUCACGUAGUUUAAAGCUUCCCCUCCUUCUAGCGCCAAACUGUUAGGGUAUUUUUUUGUACAAGCGAUCCGCGCUCAGCUCUACGGAAUGGUAGGAGGAAGGAGACGCGUCGUUGAGUGUAUUCCCCUGCUUCGAUAGUUGAUAAACUAGGAGAUCCUGCUCUUAGGAUACUGCCAUCACUACAAGAAAAAAGGCGUAUUGAUAGCACAUUGUAAUAGCUUUGUUUUCUAAACUGCUAUUAAAGAUAAUUUUUUCGAUUUCGGUAUACAUUAAUAGCAGUUAAUUAAGGCUAUCGUGAAAAAUUAGUAAGCAGGAAUAAAAAAUCACGCAUACCGCCUAUACUUAGGUGAAAUUGUGACAAACCGCGAAAUACCAAAAUUUUCCCCCUUUACUAUAACACAUUCUCUACUUAAAGAUGUAAAAUUUAGUUUCCACAAAAAAAUAGUCACAAAAAAAAACUCUCUCCUCUCGUCAAAUCUAACUGUUCAUCUUCUCCCAUGUAUAUCUCCCUCUCACUUUCUCCAAAUCUCACUUCUCUUUUAUUCUUCUUCAACAAUUCUCACUUCUCCUCUUAUUUUGAAAAUAGUUUUGGGGUAUUGUGUUCUCUGUGUUUUGAAUAAAUCUAGGGUUUCUCAUUCCCUUUCUUUCCUAGGGCCUGAGACACGAGAGACAUAAGAGAAGAGAGACGAGACGAAACGGAGAUGGAGAGGAGAGAAAGCUCGGGUCGUGUCUUGAUUCGUCUCAGAUAACCAGAGCUUGGGUUGGGUGGGGUCUUGCUUUGUCUCCGCCGUUUUCGCCUCAGCUUCAGGUCCGCCGUGUUCGAGCUCCGCCGCUGCUUGUACCUUUUUCAGCAUUCGUCUCGAGAGAAGAAUUUGAGUCGAGCGAUAAGAGAAGGCAUAAGAUGGAGUUGGUUCAGAGACAAGGGAAGAGACAUCCUGCCUCUCGAGUUGGCAAUCUAAGACAGAGGAGAUGGAGAUGGGAAGAAGAAGAAGAAGAAGAAGAACCAGAGAAAACAGAGGUGGAGUUUCAGAUUCAAAACGAGAGAAGACACAAGAGCAAGGUAUUUGGAUCGACAAGGAAGAGGAAGAUGAGAAUAAAAAAGUGGCUGUAGGCGAGGAACUCAGGUACUUGGAUAGUCUGUCUUGAACAAAACUCUUCCAUUUUCUGUAAAAUUUAACAAGUUCGAUAUCUUGUUAAUUGAUUCACUGUCUUGUGUGUUAAUAACUAGAGGCGUGUGUCUGAGAGAAGUUAUAAAUAUACACAAGAACUUGAUUAUUAUGAGAAGGCUUUGUUGAUUUCUCAAGACAUGUUACUAACUACCAUCUUCUUCUUCUCUAGUAUGUAGUGGUCAUCUCGUUCUUCUUUGGAUAUAUUGGUCUUCAAUAGUCUUCUUCUUGCCUUCUUGUUUGCGGUGUAGUAGUGUUUGAUUGUUUUUGCAGUUAAUGAAGUGAAACAUAAAGUAGAAGAAGAAGAAGAAGAAGACAAACAUGGAGAUGUUCACAGGUUCUACUCUACAUUGUACAUUCAGACAUCUCAUCUCUUCUUCACCAGGAAGAACCGUCUUUGAUGACCGCAAGGGUCUUUCCAAAUGCUGCUGCAAAUCAAUUGCUUCAGGCUCCUAAAGAAGAUCUUAACCACACAAACUAGUAUGUUAUAGGACUCGCACUCUAUGAUUUAGGUUUCUAACUUGCUGCAAAUUCACUAAGUCCUCAUGUCCAAGGGCUAGAUUCUGAGCUUAGUGUUGACUGUGUUCUCUCAUAUGUUAAGAAGUAAGAAUGCUUGCUUCUGGUGGAACUCUCGGUGCGAGACUGCUCGAGGUUACAUCGCAAACGUAUAGCCUAGAUGCAAAUCUAUGCUUGGUUCGUCUCUAUUAGGUGCUCUAAUUGUUUCUCUAUGCGAUUUCAUAUUGGCUUAUGUUGAUGCUGAGAUAUUCACUUUUCCACUGGAAUUCCUUUCCUUGACCGUAUAUUAGAUGUUCUUGGAACACCAACACGGGAGAUUAUUAAGGUGCAUACCUACGCCGCUUUUUCUACGAGAUACAUGCUAAGGCCAAGAAGGAAAUGGGAGCUCAAGGUUUUGAUUUAGUUCCCAUGUUUUCUAGUCUUUUUUAUAUUUAGUUCUGAUUUUUAUGUUUUGUGUAAGAUUUGAUGAAAAUGUAAACAUGUUUGUGGUAUUGAUGUAAGUACAUUUAGGUUAUUAAUGAAAUAUAAAUUGAAUAUUGUUUUUUA